GCAAUGGGCUAAGAGGCCCAUAGGCCCAACGUGCAAUCACCAAGAGGGAAAGAGAGGUAUCAGCGUGUGAGUCAAUUCCAUUCAAUCUCAUGACCUAAGCUAGGUUACCGGGACUCAGAACCUAGCCGCGCAAGAAAUCCCAUCUGGCGGCGGUGGAGGUCCAAAUACUCUCAACUUGACGCCAUUUGAUUCGUCCUCUCACUCUCUCUUUUGUUCCCUGCUUGGUUUUUCCUAAUUACCAGUCUAAUCAUCGAAUCAAAUCCAACCUUUGCAUGAACCCUAACUUUCCAAGUUCAAAUUAAAUGAAAAUGAAGCCAAAUCCAGACUCCAAAGCUUAGGGAUAUGGAUACUCGAAGCCACUGCUACCAUCUAGUAACAAGAACAAGACGAAACAAGAGAGUUUGAAGGAAAUGGAUGAACCUUCGGAGCGGCGAAUUGCUUUGGUCAAGAUUGAGAAACAUGAAGACGAAGGUGAUAAGAAAACCAUAGGUGCUUCAAAUAAGAAGUACAGGAAAUCAGGUACAUGAGUAGUUGUUGAGUUAGGGGAUGACGUAUAUGCCUCCUUUAGCUUUUAUCAUUGGGUCUUAGAGGAGUCGCUCUGAUAUGUAGCACUAGGGAUGGGAUGUCUUCUGUCAUUUUGUUAUGUUUUAUUUUUUUUUGUUUGAGUUUGUCGUUGAGACUUUACUUUGGACUUUGUUUAAUUUCUGUUGCUUAUUUGACAUGACUAUCUAGUAUUUGAGGAUUUUUAUACUUUGGUGAA